rnacentral:lncRNA from 1 species
AGCCGACCCGGCCUCGGCCCGCACCGCUGGCCCGCGCUGCCCCGGUUCCACGCCUGAGUGAGUCCCGCUUCUUUGCUCCCUACCGGUGCUGCUCUUGCUCUGGGUCUCUUUCUCGGCUUGCCUCCGUUUUCUGCGGAUGCGGAACCGAUCCAAACUUCUCAGUGGCUCCAGCUGGGGCGACUCUGCACCCCUAGGGUGCCGCGGUCUUGCUAGCCCUUCUCUCGCGCCCGCUCUGGUACUCGGGGGGACUGGACUGGUGAAGUGAGGGACGUGGCCGGGAUGCGGACUUACUUGGUGUCCUUGCCUCUCCCGCACACCUGCCCCGCAGUCCCUGGUUAGACACUUUCGUCCAGGUCGUGGGCAUGGCCCGCUUGAGAGGACGAAGGCGGAGUGGGGGGAAGCCCUCGGCGGGCAAGCGGGGAAAGGGGAGCCGCUCCGUGAGCCCCGGUGUCGGGAAGGCGGCGAGGUGCCGGGUGGAGUUGGAAAGGUCGGGCGCCCGAUCUAAGAGUUCACUCAUCAUCCUCUCCCAGCCCAUCUCCUCCUGUUCUUUUCUGGCCAGCCUUUCUUCUGGUGGCGAGCGGAGGUGGAGGGGGACCUGGGAAGUUUGUGGCAACUUCUCUAUCCCGGGAGCCACUCGGGCGUUGGGCGCUCAAGUUGGAGCCCAGAGUUUAAGAGCCGAAGUACAGCGCUCGUGCAGCCCACGCGGGCGAUCGCGGGUCGAUCCUGGAGGUGUUUGGGCUUGGGCGGGAAGCUGGAGGAGGUACGUGGUGUCUUAGUUUUGGGGCUAUGGCCGCACAGGUGCAGCCCCAGGGUCAACUCUUCAUUUCCCUGUGACAGUACACAACCAAGAGCGGCGGCCUUCUACAGUGUUCCUCUACUGCAGGGCUCCCAGAGUGGCCAAACUGGGGUUGGGGAGCCCGAAUGCAAGGGAUUAAAGGGCAAGUGGCAGGUUCGGACAGUGACACGUGCGUGUGCCUGGCCGAGCAAAACAGGUCCCUUCUGGGAUGAUCCCAGAAGACCGAGAGGACAGCAGCUUAGAGCUCAGGGUAGAGGUUUUGGCCCUGGCCUCCACUAGGGCCACGUUUUACUUAACAAGAUGUCAGCCACAGGGUCAUCUUCCAAAAAUGCCCGGUUGACAAUUUUGACCCCUGCGCCCUUCCUGGGAGAACUUUCUCUGUGGUAUACCGGAUUCCCAGGGUUAAGACUUGGAUUUCACUUGUCCAUAGGGACAGGAAGACACCUAAUUCCCUGGAGAGAACCUCUUCUGCUCCCGAUUGAUUGGCUGAGGUUCCAUAUUUGUACCCUUGGAGGCCAGAGCACCCGACUUUCCCAGAAAGACAGAAGAGGGGAAUGAGCUAGUCUGGCCUCUCUCCGCCAGGAGUCAGGUUCUGUCUUUAAGCAGUAUCUGGGUUUUACAGAGUUUGCACCUGGUGACAGACUUCCAAACUUUACUUAAAUUCACACCUUGCUCAAAGUGAUUUUCUGAAAGAGUGAAAUUUUAUUUCGUAGUCAGAUUCUCCAGAUAGAUAGAUGGAUUCAGUAAGUAUGUAAGUUGUGGCCAUAAUUUAAACCCAAGGAAAGCGGUGUUGUGGUGUUGACUCUAAACCCCUUUAUGAAUCCUCCAUGUAGGACUCGUGCUAUGACUUAGCAGCGGUUCUUUAUUUCUAUGGCAUAUUAUUUUUGUAGAACAGUAGUAAGUGCAUACACUGGCUGCUCCAGUCUGCUGGCAAACAUUAGCAUUCAAGCUUACAUUUUUGACAAAUGUGCAGACAGGAAUAGCAUGAAUAGGCAUCUUAAAUAUUAACAACCCAAGCAUCUGUUGUGAAACAAAUUUAAUAUAUUUACUCAGUCUUUCUCACAUUGUUAGGAAAGGUUAUAAUAAGUGCUUAAUUUCAACUUAACUUAGCAGAAGUAACUGGCGGCAUCAUUCACUACCUCCCAAGCUCUAACACAGUUACCCGGCAGAAAGACUUUAAUUAACUUGGUUAAGGGCAUUGUUAAGUAAAUACACUUUAAGCAAUGUGCAUGCUAUAUAACAUGCAAAAGUGGCGAAAUAGCCAUCCUGUUUGUGUGCAUUUUAAAUGACCUCAUCUUAUAAAUAUACCAAGUAUGUUUGUUCUUCAUCUCCAUUUGACACUUAUUAGUUCAUUUUUCUAAUGGCAACAAUAUUUUAAAUGUAGAGUUGUUCAGUCAUAUGUAAUACAUAAUAUGUAAACAGUAGCAAUAAAAUACAAGGCAUUGUUAAAUUUGAAUAUGGCUACAUGUAACAAGGUUAUGCAAGAGAAAUAAAAUCACUGCUCAAUUUUGUUUUCCUUUCUGAAUAAUGAAUCCAGAUGAUGGAUGAAAAAAGAACAAAUAGGGAUUUCCUCCCUGAAGUAAUAGCUUCUUAAAAUGUAUGCGAGGUAGGAGAGGGAGAACAAUGAUAAAGACCUAAAGAACUUCCCAAAUCCACACAGCUAUUUCCAGAAUCAAUGCAUUCCUUACUUUCCCACAAGCUGAAAUAUGUAAUAAAUAAUAGUUCUUUGUAUGUAAAAGUAUUCACAAGGAAUGCCUUUUGUUCCCUUGUAAUAAAUUAAUAUAUUCUUCUUCAGUUGAUAAUCUACAAAAGUAGUUCCUUGUCUCUUGGCAUUUUCAACAAAAGCAACAACAAAAUGAAUAUUGGUUUAGUCUUCAAAGAAGUCUGUUGCCAGCUCUGUGAACCUGUGACUGAAUAGGACAUGCUGUCGCUGAGUGAUAGCUGAGAAACACCACAUUCAACUAGCAAGGGCUGAAGAUCUAGGGGGAGUCUCAAUGCUGUUUUCAUGUGACAGGUUGUGGGUUGUAAAUUAGGCCUAAAAGGUCAGGUGACAGGCACCUGCUCCUCAUUAUUGUAGAAAUCUUUUGGUUACAAACAGCGUUAAGCUAAACACAACAUGGGUAUGGAACAGGGGCUGUCUAAAGCACUCCAGUAGUUUUACCUGCUUUGUAAAUGUCUAAACAGCACAUACACAGAAGCCAUUUCUUCCCUACAUGUUAUCUUGUAUGAUUGCAAUUAAUAUUAUGUUAGUACUUGGAACUGAUGAAGUACAUAAGUGCAUGACUAAAUCAAUCUUCUAAUUAUGUCUAGACAUUGUAGUGGAAUGUAGAAAAUAUUUUUCCUUAAAAGAAAAAAAAACCCGUUUUUCCUUUGCAAAUUAUUGAUUGAUUGUCAGAAUCGUGUUCAUGUUUUACCUGGAAAACCUUGCCAAGUCCAAGUGUCCUUUUAUACUUUUUAGAUGAAUUCUCAUUUAAAAUGAUACCACAAAAUUUUGUUUCUCAGCACCCAUAGAUGAGGGGGAAACGAGUUGCUCUGUUUUGCAGUAGCUUCGUGCCAUACAUAGAAUGGAAAGAAAAGCACAUUGUACAGGAAUGUAGGAAGGCUCUUCAGACCUGGCUGUUCUCUUGGGAGUAUUCAGAGUUCUUCCUGUUGAAAGAGGGGAGCAUCGCUUAAUCCCUAUAAGUGGCUUCCUUUUACACGUUCCGGAGAGCAAACUGUGCAUGUCCAUAGAAGAGACCACACCAGCAUAAGGUGACAGAAUAUUAGAGGUGCCAGUUGCUUUUAAUUAGCAGAGGAGGAUGAUUGUGAGUAAAGUAAAUAACUCAGGUUAUUCGGUUCUGUUAUUAAAAUAUGUUCUUUAUCCUUUUUGCCUUUAAAUAGUUUGUGCUUAUUAUAUGAAGCACUCCUUUUUGGUAUUUGCUUUUGAAAUUGAUUUAGUUCUCAUAUUCUAAAACUGUGUGAUGAUUUUUUUAAAAAUAAAGUUAAUUAAUAGAUCAGGCAAAAAAAAAAAUAACCCACAGUAGGGUAUAUUUUCUGGUAAAAUGAAAGUUAUGUUUCAGCAUGAUGAACACCAGGCUUCAGUAGUCUGCUCCUCGUGUGCACUGAGCACUUCCUACUUCGAGCUAGCAGGCACCUACUGUUUAUUUACGCUGCAUUAAACUGACAGCUCAGCAAUCAGAGGAAAAAUAUUACUUACCUUCCUGAAGUAAAUACCAGUUUAUAGGUUAGUGCACGUAUUUAUAUUCCUGUCACCACUAAAUAAUGGCUCUGUCUCUGUUUUAAUAUCUACCUGGGCUGUAACCCAGCGAUUCACACUGUUUCUGGCUGGGAGGAAGGGGUCGACAGGAGUUUUUCUUCCCGUUCCCUGGUGGCAAAACUCUUAAAAAAGAAUCGUUUCAUAUUCUCAUCUCUGUCAUGUGAAAACUAGUUGGGAGAGAUGUUGGACACUUUUCCCGUGCACCCCCACUGCAGCAUCAACCCCCCAGCAUGUUGGCAUGCCACUAAACACAGUCAUCCUGAGGCCUCCCCUGGACGGAUGUGCACAAGCACAGUCAAGUAUGCCUUUGCUAAAUUAACUUUCCACAGAGUUCCAAACAGAUCAAACUAUGUGAUUCCUUAGAUUGCGUCUGCGAUAAGGACCCUUCCCUUCCCAUUCUUGGGUGGAAUGCUUCAGUUUUUAAUACAGUUCUGCAAAGAUACCUAUAAAGUAGAAUUUACUGUCUGGGCGAUUGCUUCUUAGCUUUGCUCUAAACAGGCUGGCUUCCCUUCCUUCCUUCCUUCCUUCCUUCCUUCCUUCCUUCCUUCUUUCCUUCCUUCCUUCCUUCUUUCCUUCCUUCCUUCCUUCCUCACUUUCUCUUUAUUGUUAAUCUGCCAUCCUCAAAAUAAGUGUUGUUGCUACUUUUAUUUUAUAAUACUGAAUAUACCUGUUUCUUCAAUUCAAGGUCCCUCUCUUUCAGGGUCCCCUUGAGACCUCAAAAAUCCUGCUAACGUUGAAUGCUCAAACUCAUGGUUAGCUCAAGAAAAUGCUUAUUGUUGUUUAAAUUGUCUAAGGAGCUCUCGGACUUACUGCCUGUACACAGUUGUCAAUCCCUAACCACAUACUCCACAAACAUCAGAGCAGACUCUGCUCUUAAUACAGCAACCAUGUAAAUUAAAUCUGUUACACAAGGUUCUUCCCCUCCACUCUCCCAAAGAAAAGUAUCUCCCGUGUAAUUUAUAUAGCAUUGCUAACUGCUGUUCUCAAUGGUGAGUCUAUUUAAACUUGAUGUCUUCAUAAAGUGUGAUCAAUACAUUAACACACAUUAUUUUGUACUUUUGAUCUUAUGCCAACGGUACCUUUUGCUGUUUAUUUCUUUAAAGUCUUUUUUAAGAUCAGAUAUUUCAUUGUAGAGUAAAUAGAUACAGAUUGUGUGUAUAUAUAUUCCGGGUGAGAUUUAGUAGUAGAGAAUUUCUCUAGCAUAUUGGCCUAUUUUUAUUCCUUCAAGUCAUUCUGUAUCACUUGCACAGUUGUUGCUGUCUGAAGGUUUGUAAUAGUAUUUCUAACCCCCUCCUCCUUCAAUGGACUUUCAAGGAUGUGAUUCAGUUAGUCAGGGAUUUAGUUCAGUUGUAAGAGAUGAAAAAUAGUUAGCUGAUAUCCCAGAAUUUAUGCCACUGCUUUCUGCUGGAAUUUAUUUGGUCCAGUUAUAUGACAUUUAGUGGAGAAGUAGCUUGGAAUCGAACAUUCAGAAUCUGCUCUGUUUCCAGGGGAGGGCAUAUCUUGCUGGAUAAAGCUUUUACAUGUGUAUUAUUUUAUUUUAACCAUCACUCAUUUUGGAGCCCCACUUGUUGUUGAACACGGUUUUGAAUACUAGGGGUGCAGGUCCCAGUAAUGAGGGGGAACCCUUGCAGAGGAGGUAGAUGUCUGGCUUCACCUGCUUGUGACUUUACUAGAAUGCCUGGGGAUCUAAGCCAGCCUCCCUCUGCUGCUCCCUUCACUCCCUCCACCUAGGUGUGCAGGAAGUAGAGGGCGUUCUACCCAGCUGAAGGGGGUGGACUCUACUCAGAGCUAUGACCUGAUUUGUGGCGCACCCUCAGAUCUGCAGACAUGGUCCAGCUGCUUCCCAGGCAACUGGUAACCACCUCAUUUUGGGCGAGCCUGCCUUGCUAACGUGCCAGAGAGAACUUCGCACUGUCACCCCAUCAAAGACUUUUUUCUUCUAGGGCUAGAGUCGGAGACCAGCCUCUGGUAUUUGAGAGGGUAAGUGUCAGAAGUUACGACUUGGUUCCAUGUGGAGAAUCAGAUUGCAGCCACCGGGACUGACAGACGGAUUGCUCUGGUGUGUAGGUGGGCAUUUGUCUGUGGGAUAUUGCUUUCUUCCCCUUAACUGUGGGUGAUUUGGGAUCAGGUUCCUAGGACAGGUUUCCAGUGUGCAUUCAGCCCUCAUUCUUCCUUGGAUGGUGAGAUGUGCUAGUAGUCUCCACGAGGGAAAUUCGGAGACCUUCUUUCCUUUAGGUAUUUAAAGAAAAGGCAGCGUGUCAUCUGUGUGGUGGGGAAUUCUUCAGAUGUAGUUUUCCUGGAAGCCAGAGCUGAUGGCUACAGAUUCCUCUGUAAUCUUACUCAGUAUUUUCUAGUGUGCUAUUAAAAGGGUGUAUAUGACAGUGUGGCCUUUUAAUGUUUUCAGUAUAUUAAAGACUUAAAGGCAAAAGAAAUUUUAUGUUCUAAAUAUUUCAUUGUAAUAAUUUUAUAAGCAAAAUAAAAUCACUAUGCAGAUAUCUUUUGAAGUGAAGGGAUCCCUGAGUAGUUUGUAGCCAUAAUCAGCUGUUUGAUGCUGAACGCAAUUGAGUUUUCCUGUUCCAGGGAACCAGACAAUGGGAAUCAUUGGAGAUCAACAACAAUUAAUUCUAUGCAAUUCUUGAUAUUUAGCAAGCUGUUCCUUUGCCAAGAAAAUAUUUUAUUAGUGAUUGAAGCACAAAAUACAAAUGCUUACAGCUUUACAUUUUCAGAGAUUCUGUUGAAGUCACAAAAUAAUCUAAGGGAAACAACAGAUGCCUUGCUUAAUGGUAGACCAGUUCUCUAGUCUGUGGGAGGCACGAACUCUGCUUCCAAAAACUCUUCGAGGUGAGCUACUCUUCUGAUGGUUUAAGAGGACUAAGAAACAAUUUAGAACAUUAUCUUAAAAGUUUAAAAAUGACAGCCUUACUGUGUAUAGAGUCAUUGUAUUUUAAUCAUACUGUAUGCUUAUUAGUGUUAUUAGAGCAGUAGACGGUUAAUUACAGCCUUUUUCUGAGACGUGUUAACUGUAUAUUAACAGCCAUGUUAAGAAAGAAUGAUGUAUGCUCUUGGAUACAAGCUGCUGCUUGCUAGAUUCUUGAAAAAUACCUUUACAAAUGUAUGGAGUCACAUUUUUGGUCAAGAAUCAUCAAGGGUUUUCACUAAGAUACUUUAAUUUUAAAACUUCUACAAGUUAUGGAAUGCCUUUGUUUUCCCUUGUUCCAUUAGCUUUGGCUCCCUGGCUUUUGCUCCUGGCAUUACACGUGGCCAUCACUCUGUAGUAUUAGCUUUUCCAUCCUGUAUUUUGAGAUGUCCACAUGUUCUUGUUUCUGACUUUGGCCAAUAAGAAGCAUGAGAAGCACACUGAGUUGAUUUAGUUUGAUAAAUAUAUUUCUUUUUUUGGUGUGGAAUCAUUGUAGCUAAUGUUCUUUAGUCAAAUUGUAUUAUUCUCAAUUCCAUAUAACCCAAUACUUGAAAUAUAUUUGAGUAGCCGACCACAGCGAUGAUUUUAUUGCUUAAAUCUCAAACCUAGGUUUUAGCAAUGGCUUCUGUCACAGCGAAACAAUAAGUGAGUGGAACCACAGGGUUUUAAUACCUAAACACUUCCCGUGGAUUGGUUAACUGAAUUCCCUUGAUGGAUCUGUAGACCUUGUAAUCUCAUAAUAUAGCAUUUAAAAAACACAGGCGCAUUCCUAUGUUGGGAAGCCUAUAGGUACUGCUGUUUUGUAUUAUCAUACAAGGUAUUAAACUAAAAAACGGAAUUAAGUAUAAGCUACACUUCUGUACCACACAAACUGAACUGAAGGGACAGUUCGCAUUCUCUGUCUUGCAUAUAGCAAGCACUCAUUUAAGGAGAGCAAAAUUAAUAAUUGGGUAAUAGUGAAUAUAGCUUGUGCUGGUAAAGGUUUAUUGAAAAAAAAAAAGAGACUUUUCUUCAAAGCUUUUCAUUUUUUGCUCAUACAUGAGCAUCUGAUCCUCCCGUGAUCCAGUUGGGUAGAUUAUUUAAUGUUUCCCUUUAAGUGUGUCCCUUCUUUAAGCGUGUCCUCUGUCCUCUGCUGGGUUUUGGAUAACAGCACUAGAGUUUCUGUCUUAUCCUUUCCUUUAGGAUUAUGUCAAGUUUCUGUUUAGCUUCAUGGUGCUUUGCUGUUGGGCUGUGGUAACAAACUUCACCAUAAUCAACCCAAAGCAAUACCCUGCAUUUCAGGUUGGGCUUCCACAUAGGGGUCAGGCUGGUAUUCCAGAGCCCAGCAAAGGGCUGGUGAGUGGUGCCAGUCUCCUUGAUCUCUACUCCCUCUUUCCAACUCCAGUGAUGUUUUCUCAGGACCACACUAUGUAGAUGUCAGCCAUGAUGAAUGCAUAGAGACAAAAAAAUCCCUGUAGUUACGAGCCUCAUGUACCAAUAGGAUAGGAUUUGGGGUGCUUAUAUGAGAGGCUUUCCAUUCACCCCUUAAAACAUACACAGGAGUCAACAAUAGGGCUCCUUAGCUAGAUGUUAACUUUUGCAAAGGUUACAGGCAUUCUUUGAAAGUUAUCUAAAAAAGAGACCUCUUUAAAAAUUUUUAUUGUGUUUUUAAAGCAUGCGUGGGACUAUUUGCAAGACAUUCCUAUUUAGUUACAUUCCAAAAAAUAUGCUUUAAGUGGUGCACUGCUGUGUGACCUAUUGCGUUAUCACACACAUUCUGUCUCUUUAAAAACACACUCUCCUCUAUCUGCCCUAUUAAUUGUUGAUAUGUUGCCAUCCACGAGACAAAAAUUAGAGCUGUAAUUAAAUAAUCAUGUGAUGCUCCUUAGUGCCAGUGAGAGCAAACUCAUUUUUCCAGGCCCUGAUGGUCACUGAUUAUUGUAUUACCACUGGCUUGCUUGAUUUUUUUUAACGAUUCUCUCUGUAGCUUCCCUAACCACUGUCCUUUGCAAAAUUAAAGAAACUAGCAGACAUUGAGACAGUUAAUUGCCUGGAGGGAGGUCCUGAGGGAUAAAAGGUAGGGUUACCUUUUUUUUCUUUGCCUUUGGUCACCUGGUAGGUUCUUUGGGAAGGCUACAUCACUAGUGUGGUUGGCUGCCAUUUAAUUUACACUGGUGUUUUGGCUGGGAUGAAGGCAUAUGGGGAAUGCCAGGAGAAUUACAAAAGGAGCUGGGUAUUAAAAUUCAGAAAUGAUUAAAAUUGAAAUAAAAGGAUGCUGCUUCUUUGCCAGUGCUCUGGCAGUCAUAAUGACACAUAGAGAUUCGCCUCUGCCUUCAUCCUCUCCUACUUUCUCAUUUCCUCUUGUUUAUUGUUGACACAUUUUCCUUAUGUCUGCCUCUCAUCUCUGUAUCUUUUGUACUAUUAUGUGUUUCUCCUUCUCUCGCUUUCCUUAAGCAUGGAGAAGCCUACUUAACCUUAUUAUAACAAUAACAGAAUAGGUUAUUAAUAUUUAAUAUGCACAUGAUUAAAAUUUCUCUCCCUUAAACAUAGGUCAGCUGUAUUAUUAUUAACCAGCAUGUAAUUUUUCAUUUAAAAUAUUCCUACUCUGCCUUGCCGUUUCUGAAAUGCCUUCUACUUUAGUAGUGAUUUAAUACAUAAUGUUUAGAAAACUGUGGACGGCUACUGAGAAAAGAACUUACCAGUCAUGGAUAAUCAAUUAUGCAUGAAUUCAAAUGUAGCAGAUGGAAUCUGGUGAGUUAAAGUUUCUCUAUGCCUUAGCUUUUUUUUUUUAAUUUGUUUGUUUGACACCUGUCUCUUAUAUAUAGAUAAACAUCUAAUAUGGCAUGUGAGACAUUUCCUUGUGUCUUUAUUUCCCUUUUAAAGUGAACAGAGUUUUUACAUUCAAUGUAAAGGCACAGACACCUUGAUCUGUCCCUAAACAUCUGCUUCUGUCCCUUUGUUUUAUAGAUGUGGAAUCCCCCUUAGCUAAUGGCCACUCAGCUGGAUAGUGGGGUGGGAAGGAAGACCCACACCUAGUUUCUAUUCUUCACUCUUGUUUUCUACUGAAUCAGAGACCCUUUCAGUGGGAGUUGCUUAAUAAUAGGGUAUUACACUAACUGUUGGUUUUAAAGGCUUUCUGAUGAAAACAGCGGUGCCCCACUUUUUAAUUGAGUAAUCUAUUCUUGCAUGUUAUGCAAGUGUUAACUGUACAUUUAUCAUGUUAUACCAUGUGCACAUUAUAUACACACAUGAUAUUUAUACAUACUUAGAUAUAGGCCAAGCCAUUGGGUUUUGCAAGUUUAUUAUGGAUACCACAAGAGUUAGCUUUAUAUCCUAAACUGUAGCCACUUCCAGCCUCAAAGAUACACCUGUUUAAAGCUGUGUAAACUUCUAGUGAUAAAUUCCCUUCCUACAAAGGGAACUCAAGACUUGGUUUCAAGGGCCUUACUAACUCAAGGAGAGAAAAGAAGUCUCAUCUUUAUUCAGUGUGCUUUGCUUCUACUGUAACAGGAGAAAAGUCAGUACUGAGCAUCCUUCAAGCAGUACAGUCUCCAGACAGUUACAAGCUGGCCUCCAUCAAAAUUGUGUACAAACAAGCGCGUUGUCUCUCUCCCACGUGUUUAUAUAUAAAAAAUACAAAUAAAAAAAGGGUUUUACCAAGUAAAAAUAAAUGAUUAAAAAAUAGCUUCAAGGCCCUUUAGUUCUUGAAAAGUAUAGUGUAGUAUUAUUUAUAAACAUUUUGGUUCUUAUCAGCUGGAAGUUUACAUGGAAACUAGUCCAUGUUACUUCUCUAGUAAAUUAAGUCUCACAAUGAACAUGUUAAUGAGAGGCACCUUCCAGACAGGUAACUAGGCCUUCCACAGCUAAACUGUCAACCUAUUUAUAAUAAUUAAUGCUUUUAUCAUAAUAAAUAUAUCUUUAAUUUAGGUCUACAACAUAUUAAUAUAAAAAUGUAUACUAUGAGAUCAGCAGGAAUAGAUGAUGUAAUACUCUAUCCAGGGUAGCAUAGCAUAGGGAAGAAUGUUUGUAAUUGUUGGAUUAGAAGUUAACUACAUUGAUCCCUAUCCCUACCAGAGAAGUAACUGACUAAAUUUGAAGUUAACUAAAUUUAGGUUUAAGACCUUUGUUUUAAAAAAUAGAGUCUAAAGUCAUCCCAUGCAGACAAUUUAUAGAAUAUUAUUACACUUGUGUCAACCUCUCAAGGAUGCUUUCCUACUUGAGUGAUUGAGGGAAGGUGUGCUAUUUUGUGAAUGUAAUCAUUGUGCAUUUCGAAAAGAUACACAAAGAAUAUUUGGACUGACUGUUCUCAUGUGUUCCCGUCUCCCUCCUCUCUUCCUCCUUUGCUAAGGCUCGGUGUUGAGUCAGUGUUAAAGAGAGCAGCAUCUUCUUGCAUUUGGAGGUCCUUCAGAACGGGUGAGAUAUUGGUUGGUGAUUACCAGGCUAAUAUGUCCUUUGGGUCAGACACUCGUCCUAUGAAUCAGUUGUCUGUUACAGACUGGACUGUGGCUGUUGCCAGGUAAGGACAAAGCCCUGGGAAGUUGGUUCAGGGAUGGCUUGUCCAGUGUCUUGGAGCCCAUUGUUUCUCUGAGGCUUGGCGUAAGGUGUUAAUGAUGAUAUAUUUCUCCUGCAUAUAGGAACAGCUGAUUGGUUGGCUCUGCUAUUUGGUUUAAAUUUUUUUCCUGUGGUAAAUAUCUAACCCAAAACGUGCCGUUUCCAUGAUAUUGAGGAUACAAUUCAGCGGCAUUGAUUAUAUUUACACCAAUAUAAACAGCUGUCACUAGUGGCCCCUCUGAAUUCUACCAACCCAGUAGCAUUUACCUUUGAACUGACCUCUGCCUUUGUCCAUCAAAUUUCAGGCAUUAAAAUGGGGGCAGCUUGUUUUCCAGCUGAGGAUUUGUCUCAGGUCAUGCCUUUCCUUUGCUCUAGUGUCCUGUGACAUCGGUUUGCUCAUAGCGGUACAGUACCAGAUAUUGCUUUUACCAGAUAUUGCUUUUGGCUGAUGUCUCCACAAACAUUACUUGGAUUAGCAUUUGGGCCUUUAUCCCUCAACUAAACUUUUUAUCCCUGCAACUAGCCCGGAAAACAUUAAUAAUAAUAAUAAUAAUAAUAAUAAUAAUAAUAAUAAUAAUACCCGAAUCUCCAAGGAAGUCUGAUUGGUAUAUGUUGGCUAACGGUUGGCAAGGGCUGUCAGGAUUCAUUGGCAUUAGAGUCCUUUCGGAUUCCCAAGAGUCCUGCCCUCCUUAAUUGAGGUUGAAGUGUCCCUCAGUGGCUGUAAAGGCAUCCAGGACAUGUACAGCUUGAGUACUUUGGUUCUGCUCAAAUGCAGUGAUAGUCUAGAAAAGAAAAGGACAAAGAAAAGUUUUCAAUUAUUAGAAAAGCCCACUCAAGGUUAAAUAGUGGUUAUGAGGGGAGGGAAAAUAAAAAUCACAUUCAUCUGUGCUGGAAAAAAGGGGCGGGUUAGAGGAAACUUGGAUAGUUCUGGCUCCAGUAAAUAAUAGACUGGUUGCAGAACGGAGCUUCCAUGUGUAAUUUUGUGGUUAGUCGCUUAUGUCUGCGAUGAUAAAUCACAUACCUGCAUAGGAUUUUUGGCACCCCAGUAAAUCUCAAGCAAGUGCCCAAAUGCUAAUUUAUCACGGUUCCUUGGACAGCAUACCUCUUUUUACCAACUCAUGAUCUAAUAUCCUGUUCCUACCCUCUGAUCUGACUGUUUCAAACAAAUGCCUGCACAUCUACUCCUUGAGUCUUGGAGCUCUCACUGCUGGUACUUAAAACAAACCUGCCUUUCUAAGUGUCCCCAGGAUUAGGUUAAAAACUUCAGUUCAUGGAUAACCUAGUGGGCUUCUUUGAGUCCCUGCUUCUAAAAUUUUACCUGCACUGGUGGAUGCCUGACCUGAUUACUUAGCAGAAACAAUCCUGCAAACCUUAAAAACACUGCCUGGCUCACACAUCUUCAACGAUUCAGUUGCAGUAAGCUGUGGUCCCCAUACUCUGCCUUUCUAAGAUUCUUAAGGAUCCCUUUGUGCAAAGAGUUCUGGGAUUUCUUCGCAGGCACAGCGAAAGACUCCAGGGAUAUGCACACAUGUGAUACAUUUUAAGAUGUUUUGAGCCUUGCAAUUUGGAGGUACCAGUUUAGAACGUGAAUGCCACAGAGAUAGUAGAAUGGGUAGUGUGAUAGAAGAGCAGGGAAGGGAAAUAGCUGUAGCAGUAGUGGUAGCAUAGCCAUAGCCGUAGCUUAGCCCUAGCCAUAGCCGUAGUCAUAGCCAUAGCCGUAGCAUAGCCAUAGUCAUAGCUGUAGUCAUUUUUUCCCCUGCAGUGUACCAGGUUUUGGACAGCAAGUCUAAACUAAGCUGUGCAUUAAAAGAAGUAGCUGAAGGGUCCUAUGAGAAAAAAAAAAGGGGGGGGUGUCUGAAGUUUAUUCCAAGAGCCAUAAAAUCAAACCAGGCAUCUAGAAACAGGCAGAAUGGUGGUCCUGUACUAGGUGGGCUCAUUGGCACUGCAGGAAUCUUUACUGAUCCUUACUCGGCUUUAGAUCUGGGUCUAGAUAGAAAUACUAAUUUUGAUGAAGUUAUUUCCACUAGGCCUCAUGAAAGGUUUAUAUUAAUGUCUGUGAAAGGAAAGGUAGCUUAAAAAAAAAAUCUGUUCAAUAAAUCCUUGUUAGUGAAAUUCCUUUUUGUUGGGUGUAGAGGCCCAGCUGACUUGACAGCCAUGAUAGCUAGCACUGCUGUGAUACUGACUUGCCGAAAAUGCAUCACAAGUUACCUUUGCGAAUUUGCAUCCAACCUCAGAGGAAUUGGGGGACAUCUUUUCAUCACUAUCAGUCUGGCUAGAACCGAAACCCAGCUUCCUUGAGUAGGGAAAAGCCCAGAACCACUGAAAUCUUGGACCUGCUCAUCAUCAUCCUCAUACUUUGCUCUCUCCUUGAACUUUUCUAGCCUUUAACAUUUUUUUUUUUUCUGGAGUGUACUGUACCAGGUUUUGGUAGCUAGGUACUCUGUUUAAGUAUCUCCAUUACAAAACUCCAUAGCUAAGGGGGUUUGUGUUAGCAUCACAGGAAGCUGCAGUACAGGUGGAAUGGCUGUGUGUCUCUUAUAACGGUGUGCCUAUGGUAUUACAGUACUCACAGCAAACAACCUAUAUGGUAAUUGCACAUUGUCGCGAGUGUGUUACAGGACCCUCUCAAGUGCAGGCAUGACUGGAAAGCUGUCUUAAAUUGUGUUCACUAGUCUCAUUCAGGCAACAUUACAGAUCUUUGGGCUAAUUUUAAAAUGGAAAAUGGAAAAUGGCCUGCAUUCAGACAUCUUUAGAACGUUUGAAAGCCAGUCAGCACCUCCAAGCUUCCUUCUGGUCAGAUCCUGGGUUCACUUACUCACCUCUUACAGGAGUUCUUUAGGUAAAUGCUGUCCAGUAGGACGUUCUGUAAUGGGGAAGCAUCGUAUAGUCUACACGGUACGAUUGUGUGAGCCACUAGCCACAUGGGACCAUGGAACACUCAAAGUGGGAUGGAGGGACUAACUUGCAAUGCUUAAAAUUAGUGUCAGUGCAGCUACUGGUGAAGAUUGGUUGCAAAGGACACCAAGGGCUCUUUGCUCUUCUCUAUGCAGUCAUAAGGCAAAUAUUUCGAGAAUACUGCAUUCAGUUCUCAAUCUAUGGUAAUUAGUGGGGACUUCCUCACUGAAAGGGCUUGCAGCCUGAUAAGGGAGAUGCUUACCUCACUAAUAAUCACUCAGGUGGUUAGUUGAUUAAGAAGGUGAUGGCUGUUACAAAGGAGAAAUGCAGGUUGGUAGAAGAAUGUACACCAGGACCCAUAACUUGUUAUAGGAUUAGUCAAGGGCUUUAGUACGGGAAAUGAUGAGGCAGAACACUUGAACUUUGCUAACUUCGAGGUGGGGUCAGGUUGGCUACAGGACCCACAGGUAUCAGACUCAGUCAGUCAGUACAUGCCCCGCCAUGACCUCCAAAGACAUGUAGUUUAUAAAAGCUACACGCACACUUUGGGCUCACAAACUUGAGCAAGUAGCUGCUUUCUUAAACUGUACGCAGUUGUCAUGAUGUUGGUUAUAGAUAAUAUGAGAUAAGAGGCUGCAGAUAUCUACAGGAUAUUGCAUUUCCUCACGAAAAUAUGCCUUGAUGAAGCUUCAGCCCCACUGUUCCCCACCCUGCUCAAGCAAAGUGGUGUUUGGUCCAUUCAAGAAAUGUGUAGAAAUCAGUACUGACGUCCCAGACAGACAAAAUGAGACACACGGCAGCAAAACAUAUGGCCUGGAAUAGACAUCCUUGUAUGGCCAACACGGACCAUAUUCCCAGAAACUCACACAUAGAGGACACCACCUGCAGCCGAAGCCAAAACAAAGGGUUGACAUGACAAAAAGCAAUGUGUGACACAGACUGAGCUACUUUGAGUGGAGACGGCCAACUGUAUUUGAAAUUAAAAAGAUAAACACAAGGCAAACCAUGUCCAUAGAAAGCGUUUUGCUGGUGAGUGUUGCUUUACUAACAGGCACCAGAGGAACCGCAGUAUCGGAAAGCAUUCAGGGUCGAAAUGCCUUCUCUGUUUAUUAAGACUAUACACACCAUUCACAGCUCUAAAUGUGUCUUAACGCCUUCGGAGAACAUCUGAAGCACGCAGCAGUCCUUUCAUGAAGUCUUUAAAAGUCUCGCGCAUUUGUUAUGAUAUUCCAUGGGCCUUUCCAUACAGUUCAGAUGCCCUUUUCCAUGCAAGAGAGGACUGAGGUGCUGUUCUGACGGUACCCAUGCGCUGAAUAGUUCACGCACUGGGGCUGCAGGACUUAGGCUGCUGCUGAAGUUCUCCAGUUCGAUAGCAAGAUUUAUAAAUCCUAAUUUGUUUUAACUUUUCUUCAACAGUCGCUUGUAUCUUUAUGGCUAAAGAUAAGAUGUCCCUGUAGAACCUGGUAGCAUUUUUGUCUCUAUCCUGACCGCUUAUGAUCACGUAGGUCUCGGAAGCCAAUAUAAUUUCCUUUCUUUUUCUCUUAUUAUUUUGAUGGGAUUUUACCGAUGAGGACUUAGUACCUAGAGCGCGUUUACUAAUGAGGAUGGUUACACACAUCGCAUACUCUCAUGAGCAUGUAUAGUAAGACAGCCCUUCACUAUGGUGCAUCAUGAGGUCUUAGCCUGAGGGCCUUUCUCCCCCGGACAGUUUUCAGGACAUAUACUUUAUUCUUUAAGAACUGAUAGCUUUAGGAGUGACAUAUGUGCAUGACUAAUAGGUUGGUGGUUUUCCUAUACUGUUACUCUUUAUAACAGUUACUAUUACAUGGCAUUUUGCUCCUUCAUUCCGUCAGUUCCCCAGGCCACGUUAGUCCUUACUCCAUACUUCAAUGGCAUUUGUUUAUAAAUAAAUAGGUUGUGGUUCCUGGGUAAAAGGUGCUGUCAAGACUAAAAUUUCCCAGGUUAUGUCAGCAUGGAUCAGGUCCCCGGGAGGCUGAGGAAAUCAGGAGGCAUUUUGUCACAUUUACUUGUGUAAAAUUAUUGGAGAAACAUAGUAUUUUCAUCCCCUUGUAGCCCAUCUCAGAAACCUUUUUGUGUUUUUAGUAUUCUUGUCUUUCAGCUCAGAAUUUGUUUUGACCAACAGUCUGCUCCUUCCUUCCUUCCUUCUUUUUUCUAAGAAUUCAAUUGAAGUUGACUUGCAUUAGCAAGUGACAUACUGCUGCCUUUGUAGGCCUGUAUAAUUUUUCUCUUUUUAUUAUUGUUUGUUAAUUCAUCCAGCAUGACACUAGAACACACUGUUCCUACUAAGAAAGGUCAGGUUUCAGGGAAACAUGUCAGGCAUUACCAAUUUGAAGGACUAUUCAGAUAUCCACAGUGGAGACUGAAAGUUUAAUGUAUCCUAUUGAAAAAACAUCAUUGUUCUUAUCAAGAUAAUCACGUGUGUUCUUUUAAAUAUCAAAUAUCUUUCAAAAUAAGCUUAGCCUCCAGUCACAAUACAGACUCCCACACAGGUGCUAUAUUUGGCUGUAUUUGUAUUUUCCUUAUUGAUUACUAUACUGUAAAUAGCCUCCAUAUUUCCCACACAUUUCAGCUUUAAAAAAUGUCCUUUUAGCCUUUGUGGUGAAGGUGGUUUAAACUUCCCUUGUUUUGGAUGGUAUGUUUCUGCCUUGCUAUCACAUGUCCUUUUUUUCUUUCUUUUUUUUCUCAAGGGUUUGGUGCCAAGAUUCACGGUUGCCUUCCUCAAUUUUGACUAACCUUUCCGGUUUGUGGUCGAACCUGGGUGCUCUUGGAGCAAUCUAUUUUCUUUGUGCUCCUCCUAAACUUGCACCCUCUACCCCACCCCAAGGGGCAGUAAUUUCCCCUACUUUACCUUCUGCUUUUUUUAGACUUCUAGUUGUAAACACUGUGCCUGAGAGUGUAUUGGUCGCUUUAAAGAGCUUCAUUUGCAUAUCUUCGUCCUUAUCUCUGCGGUUGUCCUAACUUGUUGCUUUAAAAAAAAAAGUGUAUCACAGUGUUUUUCAGUUCUACACAUCUCUCCCCUAAUCUAUUGCAUUCUUCAAAACAGUUCUUCAAAAUAUAACACUUGGCUCCUCCGGUGGCACAAACCUUAGUGAUUAAAAGAUGCAUUUUUUUUUUAAAUUUUAGGUGGAUGUCACGGUGUUCAUUUUUAUGUGGACUGUAUUUAGUAAAUUACCUAAAGGUCGUACUGUGUAAUAAUGGCCAGUAAUGUAACUGGGGAUCUUUUGUCGAUGACAAAAGUAUUUAUUGCUACAACAGAUGAAUUCACUAACCCAAACUUUCCUAUAUUCGCCCGAUGGGAAGUAUUUUAAGAGUGAUGACAUCUUUUCCUUUGUAAUGGCAAGUCAGGUGUGUGUUUCCAGUGACCCAAAUUUAGUUUAACUCCAGCACUACGGGCCGCGUUUCAGAAGUCCAAAGUAUCUAUGGCUCUGACUUGUUCGGAAAGCCCUUACUCAGUUGUUACUGCAUGUCACUCUUGGCAGUUAAGAGACCACAUUCCUUUGAGAAUAAGUACUAGGGCGAGCGUCACCCGGCUUCUUGCCUCUCUUGCCCUCCUACCCAGGCACUCCGCGGGGCUCUUCUCGCCAGCACGACUAGCUGCUUGCCCACCUCAAGUGACACCUGCACGCCCCCGCCCCCGUCCCCCCGGGGCGGCUCAGGGUCCUCUAGUCACCCCUCCUUCGCGCUGCCCGCACGCACCUGCCCGGG